GGGCUCGGGACUGGGGCGAUUUAUCGUGCAGCAAGGGGACCGAGAUCGGCGGGUGUCGCAGGGGCCAUUGGAGGGAUUGCGGCUGCUGCUGCUGUUGCGGGAAAGCAGCUGGUUAAGAGAUACGUACCCAUAUAAAAAUUGCAAAUUUUUGUUUUGUGUUUAUCGGGAGGGGCCUUGUUUAGGCAGAUAUGGGAUUCGAGGGUUUUUCUUAGGUGGCAACGUUAAGUGAUUUCAUUAGAGGAUUUUGGUAUAAAUUGGUUCGUUUCUUGUAACAAGUUAUUGUUGUUUCA
rnacentral:misc_RNA from 1 species